UGGGCGUAAGCGCGCGCAGGUGGUUUCUUAAGUCUGAUGUGAAAGCCCACGGCUCUACCGUGGAGGGUCAUUGGAAACUGGGAGACUUGAGUGCACAAGAGGAAAGUGGAAUUCCAUGUGUAGCGGUGAAAUGCGUAGAGAUAUGGAGGAACACCAGUGGCGAAGGCGACUUUCUGGUCUGUAACUGACACUGAGGCGCGAAAGCGUGGGGAGCAAACAGGAUUAGAUACCCUGGUAGUCCACGCCGUAAACGAUGAGUGCUAAGUGUUAGAGGGUUUCCGCCCUUUAGUGCUGAAGUUAACGCAUUAAGCACUCCGCCUGGGGAGUACGGCCGCAAGGCUGAAACUCAAAGGAAUUGACGGGGGCC
rnacentral:rRNA from 1 species